AGCGAGGUCUUAAGACCCUCAUUUGAGAGAUGCCUUCCCUGUACCUGGAGGAAAGAAACAUCUUUAUCUCUGAAGACACAGGGCCACAGAGAAGAGUCUGAACAAACAGGCUUUACCAAUUUCCCCCAGUUGUUACCGUUAGAUCAGACCUUUGUCCAGUCAUAUCCUUCCACAAGUUGUCCACUCAUCAACCCUAAGCAUAAAAAUGCACAAGUUUCCUUGUUUGUUUGGGUCUUCAUUUCCAAGGGCUCCUAUGUCAUGUUAAACUUUUAAAUAAAUUUGCAUGCUUUUCUCUUGUGAAUCUGGUUUUUGUUAUAAGGGCCUUAGCCAUGAACCUAAG
rnacentral:lncRNA from 1 species